UAAUUUUUUGUUUUUUUUUACAGGCACACGCUUGUGAGUCUGAGACUGGAUGAGGGGCAAACAUUUGACUGUGAGUCUGAGACUUGAUGAAGGAUCAUUAGACAGCUGAGUU